rnacentral:rRNA from 1 species
CCUAGCGGCAGACGGGUGAGUAACAUGUGGGAAUCUGCCUUUUGGUUCGGAACAACACGGGGAAACCUGUGCUAAUACCGGAUAAGUCUUUACGGAGAAAGCUUUAUGCACCAUUGGAUGAGCCCACGUUAGAUUAGCUUGUUGGUGGGGUAAUGGCCUACCAAGACUGUGAUCAAUAGCUGAUUUGAGAGGAUGAUCAGCCACAUUGGGACUGAGAUACGGCCCAGACUCC